rnacentral:miRNA from 1 species
GCUGAUAGUGAGCGACUGGGGCAG